UCGAUUUAGCGAACCUGCUAUGGUUUCGCGAAACAAUGUAUUUAAAACCUACUCAUAUAAAAAAUUUUUUUGUAUAUAUAAUAUAUUUAAGA